AUUGAACGCUGGCGGCAGGCUUAACACAUGCAAGUCGAGCGGGGUGAGGUGCUUCGGUACUGAUCCUAGCGGCGGACGGGUGAGUAAUGCUUAGGAAUCUGCCAUUUAGUGGGGGACAACAUUCCGAAAGGAAUGCUAAUACCGCAUACGUCCUACGGGAGAAAGCAGGGGAUCUUCGGACCUUGCGCUAAAUGAUGAGCCUAAGUCGGAUUAGCUAGUUGGUGGGGUAAAGGCCUACCAAGGCGACGAUCUGUAGCGGGUCUGAGAGGAUGAUCCGCCACACUGGGACUGAGACACGGCCCAGACUCCUACGGGAGGCAGCAGUGGGGAAUAUUGGACAAUGGGCGGAAGCCUGAUCCAGCCAUGCCGCGUGUGUGAAGAAGGCCUUUUGGUUGUAAAGCACUUUAAGCGAGGAGGAGGCUACCUGGAUUAAUACUCUAGGAUAGUGGACGUUACUCGCAGAAUAAGCACCGGCUAACUCUGUGCCAGCCGCCGCGGUAACAC
rnacentral:rRNA from 1 species